CUGACUGCUAUCGGAUUGAUACUAAGCCAUGCGAGUCAUUGUAGCAAUACAAGGCAGACGGCUCAGUAACGCGUAGUCAAUCUACCCUAUGGACGGGAAUAACCUCGGGAAACUGAGAAUAAUGCCAGAUAGAACAUUAUGCCUGGAAUGGUUUAUGUUUCAAAUGAUUUAUCGCCAUAGGAUGGGACUGCGGCCUAUCAGUUUGUUGGUGAGGUAAUGGCCCACCAAGACUAUUACAGGUACGGGCUCUGAGAGGAGUAGCCCGGAGAUGGGUACUGAGACACGGACCCAGGCCCUAUGGGGCGCAGCAGGCGAGAAAACUUUGCAAUGUGCGAAAGCACGACAAGGUUAAUCCGAGUGGUUUCUGCUAAAGAAACCUUUUGUCAGUCCUAGAAACACUAACGAAUAAGGGGUGGGCAAGUUCUGGUGUCAGCCGCCGCGGUAAAACCAGCACCUCAAGUGGUCAGGAUGAUUAUUGGGCCUAAAGCAUCCGUAGCCCGUUUUGUAAGUUUUCGGUUAAAUCCAUGCGCUUAACGUAUGGGCUGCCGGGAAUACUGCAUAACUAGGAAGUGGGAGAGGUAGACGGUACUCGGUAGGAAGGGGUAAAAUCCUUUGAUCUAUUGAUGACCACCUGUGGCGAAGGCGGUCUACCAGAACACGUUCGACGGUGAGGGAUGAAAGCUGGGGGAGCAAACCGGAUUAGAUACCCGGGUAGUCCCAGCUGUAAACUAUGCAAACUCAGUGAUGCAUUGGCUUGUGGCCAAUGCAGUGCUGCAGGGAAGCCGUUAAGUUUGCCGCCUGGGAAGUACGUACGCAAGUAUGAAACUUAAAGGAAUUGGCGGGGGAGCACCACAAGGGGUGAAGCCUGCGGUUCAAUUGGAUUCAACGCCGGAAA
rnacentral:rRNA from 1 species